rnacentral:rRNA from 1 species
GAUGAACGCUGGCGGCGUGCCUAAUACAUGCGAGUCGAGCGAACGGACGAGAAGCUUGCUUUUCUGAUGUUAGCGGCGGACGGGUGAGUAACACGUGGAUAACCUACCUAUAAGACUGGGAUAACUUCGGGAAACCGGAGCUAAUACCGGAUAAUAUUUUGAACCGCAUGGUUCAAAAGUGAAAGACGGUCUUGCUGUCACUUAUAGAUGGAUCCGCGCUGCAUUAGCUAGUUGGUAAGGUAACGGCUUACCAAGGCAACGAUGCAUAGCCGACCUGAGAGGGUGAUCGGCCACACUGGAACUGAGACACGGUCCAGACUCCUACGGGAGGCAGCAGUAGGGAAUCUUCCGCAAUGGGCGAAAGCCUGACGGAGCAACGCCGCGUGAGUGAUGAAGGUCUUCGGAUCGUAAAACUCUGUUAUUAGGGAAGAACAUAUGUGUAAGUAACUGUGCACAUCUUGACGGUACCUAAUCAGAAAGCCACGGCUAACUACGUGCCAGCAGCCGCGGUAAUACGUAGGUGGCAAGCGUUAUCCGGAUUAUUGGGCGUAAAGCGCGCGUAGGCGGUUUUUUAGUCUGAUGUGGAAGCCCACGGCUCAACCGUGGAGGGUCAUUGGAAACUGGAAAACUUGAGUGCAGAAGAGGAAAGUGGAAUUCCAUGUGUAGCGGUGAAAUGCGCAGAGAUAUGGAGGAACACCAGUGGCGAAGGCGACUUUCUGGUCUGUAACUGACGCUGAUGUGCGAAAGCGUGGGGAUCAAACAGGAUUAGAUACCCUGGUAGUCCACGCCGUAAACGAUGAGUGCUAAGUGUUAGGGGGUUUCCGCCCCUUAGUGCUGCAGCUAACGCAUUAAGCACUCCGCCUGGGGAGUACGACCGCAAGGUUGAAACUCAAAGGAAUUGACGGGGACCCGCACAAGCGGUGGAGCAUGUGGUUUAAUUCGAAGCAACGCGAAGAACCUUACCAAAUCUUGACAUCCUUUGACAACUCUAGAGAUAGAGCCUUCCCCUUCGGGGGACAAAGUGACAGGUGGUGCAUGGUUGUCGUCAGCUCGUGUCGUGAGAUGUUGGGUUAAGUCCCGCAACGAGCGCAACCCUUAAGCUUAGUUGCCAUCAUUAAGUUGGGCACUCUAAGUUGACUGCCGGUGACAAACCGGAGGAAGGUGGGGAUGACGUCAAAUCAUCAUGCCCCUUAUGAUUUGGGCUACACACGUGCUACAAUGGACAAUACAAAGGGCAGCGAAACCGCGAGGUCAAGCAAAUCCCAUAAAGUUGUUCUCAGUUCGGAUUGUAGUCUGCAACUCGACUACAUGAAGCUGGAAUCGCUAGUAAUCGUAGAUCAGCAUGCUACGGUGAAUACGUUCCCGGGUCU